rnacentral:rRNA from 1 species
UACGGGGGGGCAAGCGUUGUUCGGAAUUACUGGGCGUAAAGGGCGCGUAGGCGGUUCGCUAAGUUGAAUGUGAAAACUCUGGGCUUAACCCAGAGCCUGCAUUCAAUACUGGCGGGCUAGAGUUCUGGAGGGGAUAGCGGAAUUCCUGGUGUAGCGGUGAAAUGCGCAGAUAUCAGGAGGAACACCGGUGGCGAAGGCGGUUCUCUGGGCAUUACCUGACGCUGAGGAGCGAAAGUGUGGGGAGCGAACAGG